AUCCGUGCCCCCCCCCCCGCGCGCUUACUCGGCGCGGGUCGGGGUCGCAACACAUGGCGGCGGGCACCUGGUCGCAGGGGUUGCGACCCCGCGACCGCGGUAUGCACACACACUUAAAGGACCACUACAGACACCCUGAUCACAUCAGCUCAAUUAAGUGGUCUGGGUGCCAGGUCCCUCUAGUUUUAACCCUGCAGCUGAAAACAUAGCCGUUUCAG